rnacentral:rRNA from 1 species
AUUGAACGCUGGCGGCAGGCCUAACACAUGCAAGUCGAACGAGUGGCGGACGGGUGAGUAAUGUCUGGGAAACUGCCCGUGGGAGGGGGAUAACUACUGGAAAAGGUAGCUAAUACCGCAUACCAUCGGAUGUGCCCAGAUGGGAUUAGCUAGUAGGUGGGGUAACGGCUCACCUAGGCGACGAUCCCUAGCUGGUCUGAGAGGAUGAACCGCCACACUGGAACGUGGACACGGUCCAGACGCCUACGGGAGGCAGCAGUGGGGAAUAUGGCGCAAUGGGCGCAAGCCUGAUGCAGCCAGGCCGCGUGUAUGAAGAAGGCCGUCGGUUGGUAAAGUACUUUCAGCGAGGAGGCGUUACUCGCAGAAGAAGCACCGGCUAACUCCGUGCCAGCAGCCGCGGUAAUAC